AUUGAACGCUGGCGGCAUGCUUUACACAUGCAAGUCGAACGGUAACAGGCCGCAAGGUGCUGACGAGUGGCGAACGGGUGAGUAAUGCAUCGGAACGUGCCCAGUCGUGGGGGAUAACGCAGCGAAAGCUGUGCUAAUACCGCAUACGAUCUAUGGAUGAAAGCGGGGGACCGUACGGCCUCGCGCGAUUGGAGCGGCCGACGUCAGAUUAGGUAGUUGGUGGGGUAAAGGCUCACCAAGCCAACGAUCUGUAGCUGGUCUGAGAGGACGACCAGCCACACGGGGACUGAGACACGGCCCAGACUCCGACGGGAGGCAGCAGUGGGGAAUUUUGGACAAUGGGCGCAAGCCUGAUUCAGCAAUGCCGCGUGCAGGAAGAAGGCCUUCGGGUUGUAAACUGCUUUUGUACGGAACGAAAAGGUUUGGGUUAAUACCCUGGGCCGAUGACGGUACCGUAAGAAUAAGCACCGGCUAACUACGUGCCAGCCGCCGCCGUAA
rnacentral:rRNA from 1 species